CCAUAUCUAGCCUGGUUUUAUUUGAUUUUUUUGAUCAGAAAACAUCUUUUUUUUUUUUUCUUUUUUCUUUUUUCUUUUUUUCGGAGCUGGGGACCGAACCCAGGGCCUUGCGCUUGCUAGGCAAGUGCUCUACCGCUGAGCUAAAUCCCCAACCCCAAGAAAACAUUUUAAAAUUUGAAAAUGUUCGAGUCUAGAAGAUGAGUUGUUGCCCCAUCUCCAAUUUUCUUUAGAUCUUCAGUAAAAGGCACUGCCCCAUAAAUGUAUUGUCCCACUGGUGCCUUAGGAAGCACAAGGUGGAGCUAGAGAGGAGGCUUAUUUAUUAAGAGCAUUGUUGCUCUUACACAAGAGGGCCUGGGCUUGGUUACCAGCUUCCACAUGGUGGCUCCCAACCAUCUCUAACUAGUUCUAGGGGAUCUGACACUUUCUGACCUCUUCAGGAACUAGGCACACAUGUGGUGCACAUGCAUCCAUGCGGGCAAAAUACUCAUACACAU
rnacentral:lncRNA from 1 species